GAAUGCUUUUUGAAUUUUGAUCAAUUCCGUUUACGCAUUUCAUGCGUGUUCAGCAACUUGAAGGAUAAUUUUAAAAGCAUUGUUACUAACAGCGUCUCUACUUCAGUUCUAAAACAUAAUUAUCAUACGACUCUGUCAUUCGUCUACUUAUAAACCUUCUGCGCCGCAGAUGCGGCUUUGAAUGAACAUGUUAUACCAACUGUGUCAUUUAAAUUUGUAAAUUUGGGAGUAGCUUAUUUUUUUGUUGUUAAAUAUUAUAGUAAAUAACGUCGCAUUGCGGCUUAUCACGCAGAAAAGCUGCUAAAAGCUUCACAAUUGGAACAGAUUAAGACUUUAGAAAUAACUCCACUGAAAUUUAAGGGAUUGUUGCUAACAACCGGAAACACACUUACAAACACGAUCUACCAAAGCGUUAUAGAAGUCUACCAGAAUUUUAUGCUUGCCGUGCCCCAUGAUUAAUUGUUGAGCAGCUGAAAAAGUUUAUUGGCUACAAUCUGUACGUAGGGUAACUGAUUGCAGUAGACAAACGCAUGGAUCGGAAAAAUUAAAUCCAUAUUAAUCGCGCACACCUGUUGGAAUUUUGCGAUGUUGUCUGCCUGGGCAAUAUUUCAAAGUGCGUGUGAAUUUACCGGAUGUUCCAGUAAUAAAACGGAGCGAGCAGCACCGCCUCCAUCCCGAAUCAUACAACGCGCCCAUAGAAAAUUACGAUGACAGUGCUGCCAUGGAACGAUAUUUUGUUCCCCAAAAGCGGAACUGUAAGCGUCGAGGUCAGCGCUGCAAUUAUUGGGGAGAGAAUGAAUGCUGUGGCAACGGUGCCUGUAAAUGUAACAUAUGGGAAAUGUUCCCGGCCCGGCCUUUUUGCAACUUGGGGAUAGCCUCAUGGGAUUAGCACGAUGAAUAUUUGAUGAAAACAAGUUCUACGUGACAUUUUCGCUAAUUCCAUCACCUAGUACAACACUGCAAAGCUUCUUCUCGCCACAUAAAAGACAAGUCCAUCUUAUUUGUAUACUGCUAACACUUCCAUACAAUACGACUGUAACAGCUGCCACACAUUUUGUUCUGGUGUGUGGGUCACAAGGAACGGCACCCUUAAUUUGCACAACAACGGCAAAAUUGUCAACUGUCCUACGUCACCCAGCUAGUUUCCAGAAUCUGUUUGCGAAGUGUCUUCCGCUGAACAUGUGUUGCGGGCUACGAAAGCACUGAAAGACACUCGUUCACUUGCACGAAGGGCUAUAUUUUGCUAUUUUAACUAGAUUUCUUUCCUUUUAUUUUUGCUUUUGUUUACGUCCUUUUCUUUAUAUAGCGAAUUAUCAGUUAUCUAAUGUAGCAGCAGCAGCAGGCGUGCCACACUUCCGCAUCAUGAUUGCUAUAAUAAAAGUGUUUCUGGUUUUG